UAACCCUUUAGCUUACAAAGACGUCUCAGAGGCGUCACAAGGUUAUCGGACCAAAAACGAAUAAGACGCCUCAGAGGCGUCGCAAGUCUACCGGGCGAAAAAAACAAAACAUUUCAGAAUAUUGUUUGGGCGGCCGUUCCAAAUAUGAAUGUAAGAAUAUUUUUCGUAACUCUAGUUUUACACUUUCUUACUCUGAUAUUCUUACUCUCUACCUUGAUUCUUUUCCCUCUUCAUACUUAUACUCUGUUAUUGUGUAAUAAAGGACGAUAUUUCUUAUAUCUCUACC
rnacentral:lncRNA from 1 species